AACGAACGCUGGCGGCAUGCCUAACACAUGCAAGUCGAACGAGACCUUCGGGUCUAGUGGCGCACGGGUGCGUAACGCGUGGGAACCUGCCCUUAGGUUCGGAAUAACUCCCCGAAAGGGGUGCUAAUACCAGAUAAUGUCUUCGGACCAAAGAUUUAUCGCCUUGGGAUGGGCCCGCGUUGGAUUAGCUAGUUGGUAGGGUAAAAGCCUACCAAGGCGACGAUCCAUAGCUGGUCUGAGAGGAUGAUCAGCCACGCUGGGACUGAGACACGGCCCAGACUCCUACGGGAGGCAGCAGUGGGGAAUAUUGGACAAUGGGCGAAAGCCUGAUCCAGCAAUGCCGGGUGAGUGAUGAAGGCCUUAGGGUUGUAAAGCUCUUUUACCCGGGAUGAUAAUGACAGUACCGGGAGAAUAAGCUCCGGCUAACUCCGUG
rnacentral:rRNA from 1 species